rnacentral:rRNA from 1 species
UAUGUGAUCGUCUCUCGCAUAUCAAUAAGCGGAGGAAAAGAAACUAACAAGGAUUCCCCUAGUAACGGCGAGUGAAGCGGGAAGAGCUCAGAUUUGAAAUCUUAAAGGGUUUCCCUUUACGAAUUGUAGUUUAAAGAAGUGUUUUCUGUUGAGGUUUUGGUAAAAGUUCUUGGAAUAGGACAUCAUAGAGGGUGAGAAUCCCGUAUUUGACCUUUACUUUCAACUUUGUGAUACACUUUCAAAGAGUCGGAUUGUUUGGGAAUGCAGUCCAAAAUGGGUGGUAAAUUUCAUCUAAAGCUAAAUAUUGGCGAGAGACCGAUAGCGAACAAGUACCGUGAGGGAAAGAUGAAAAGAACUUUGAAAAGAGAGUUAAACAGUACGUGAAAUUGUCAAAAGGGAAGCGUUUGACACCAGUGUUGUUUUUCUGAAAAUCAAUUAAAGAACUGUUUAUGCUAAGUUGUUUAGACUUUAUCAGCUAACUGUUUAGUUUUGAGCUGUUCUUUAAUGCACUUCUCAGUUAACAAGUCAACAUCGAUUUCUUUUGCUGUAAAAAAGCUUGAGGAAGGUGGCUUGAGAUUCGUCUUAAGUGUUUAUAGCCUCUUGCCUAUGCAGUCGGAGAGAUUGAGGUCUGCAGCGUAGAUCCUUCGGGGCUAAAUGCAUUUGUGCUAAGUUAUAGCAUUUUAUAGACAACUUGUUGACUAUGAUUUGUCUUGUAGCUUACUCGCUUAUGUUAUUUUACCUACGCUUAGGAUGUUGAAGUCAUCGUAUCGCGC